rnacentral:lncRNA from 1 species
CGCCAUCUUCCAGUAAUUCGCCAAAAUGACGAACACAAAGCGAAAGAGGAGAGGCACCCGAUAUAUGUUCUCUAGGCCUUUUAGAAAAAAUGGAGUUGCUCCUUUGGCCACAUAUAUGCAAAUCUAUAAGAAAGGUGAUAUUGUAGACAUCAAAGGAAUGCGUACUGUUCAAAAAGGAAUGCCCCACAAGUGUUACCAUGGCAAAAGUGGAAGUCUACAAUGUUACCCAGCAUGCUGUUGGCAUUGUUGUAAACAAACAAGGGCAAGAUUCUUGCCAAGAGAAAUAAUGUGCGUAUGGAGCACAUUAAGCACUCUAAGAGCCAAGAUAGCUUCCUGAAACGCGUGAAGGAAAAUGAUCAGAAAAAGAAAGAAGCCAAAGAGCAAGGGACCUGGGUUCAACUCAAGCGCCAGCCUGCUCCACCCAGAGAAGCACACUUUGUGAGAACCAAUGGGAAGGAGCCUGAGCUGCUGGAACCUAUUCCCUAUGAAUUCAUGGCAUAAUAG